CCCCUUCCCAGCCGCUCGCCCGCCCGGCCGUCUCGCUCGCCGCCGCCUCCUCUCCUCCCCCGCGCCCCGCUCCUCCCACCUCGACGCCGCCUCCUCUCCCCUCCCGCGCCCCCCUCGCCCUGCCCAUCCAAGCUCAGGGUCGAGGGGCGGGCCGGGUCCAGGCGCGGCGGCUCGAUGGUGAGCGCGAUGGAUCUCGAGCUAGCUCGGGCGCGUGGACACGUUGGUGAGCGCGCCAGCGGCCGUGGCGAGCUCGAGCCCGGGAUAAACCUAGCAUCAUGGACGCCGGCGCUGCACCUGCGCCGCUGGUUGGUCCUCUCCGACACCGUCCGGGCCCUCCUGCACUGCAUCACCCUCCUACCGCGCCUACUAGACCUACAGGAAGUGCUCAUGUAUCAAAUUCCAGUUGUUACUCAACCUGUAGUGGAUUCCAUUUGCUGAAGAUAUCUUCCAUUGUCACCAGUGCAUCCUUCUAUCUGGCCUUCACGGAUCAGUGGUGCUGCUGUGUGAAUUUGUGCCGCUGUCUCGAAUUGGGCGGAGGCUUCCCUGUCAAGAAGAAGGUGCAGAGAAGCGUUGGGCACUUCAGUGCAGGCAAGGUGGUUGCCCAUGUCCUGGAGGCUAAGAUGUUGGCUUUUGUAGCAGCAGAUUCCCUAUGUAUCUAUCAAGAUGGGAUAUUCAGGUCGCUCUGCGUAGUGGGUGCCUCAUCAUUUACAGGAAAGUUAUUAAUUCUAGGAAGCGAUUGCGUGCUGAUGUAGGACUUGAUGAAGGAGAGGUAUGUCCCAAGUGAACUGGAUUAUUAUGAUGAUUUCGUCGAUUCAUACUCCUUUUUAUCCUGAAAUAAAUGGCUUUCACCUUUGGGCAGUUCAAGUGAUGGAAGAUAUUGUUUCAAUGAUAUUGAAGCUAUUUAGAUACUAUAGCAAUUAAGGUUCAUUUGAAGUCGCGGAUGGAUGCAUGAUUUAUGCAGAAAUGUAUAAGUGCCAUGUAGUGGUUAAUUAGAGGUGUAUGGAAGUACAAGUACGCUGCGGCUAAUUUGUUCCCUCUUUUAUUGUUGUUACCGUGUCCUAUCUCAGGUGUUCUUCGACUAAAAUCAGGCUGCUCCUGCCAUGUCUACCAGUGAAAUGCCUCCUUCCAUGAUAAAGCAGCCUACUCUUAGGUACAGAUCUUGGUGUUGAUUCUGCCUCACCUUUCCAGCCGGCAGUGGUUCGGUUUGCUGCAGGUUUCCUCGGUGUUCAGGUACUUCAUGGCAGCGCUGUGGACAGCAUCACCAUAACCACAUUGAUGGUCCAAGCCCCAACUCACGACAUCAUUUUUAGUUGGGUUGUGAGCACCUCGACAACUCAACAACAAAUAUACUUGAUGUGUAGCCGCAUAUACUACAUCAUCACCGACAUCAUUUCUAUGACAUGCUCAAAGUGAUGUAAUUAACCAAACCAUUACUGUUAUUAGUGCUUAGUUCCUCCUAUAUCUUUGAGAAAUUCUAAUGAUGGAAUGAAUGGACUAUAUUUCCUUCAAUCAGUGGAAUAUAUAUUGUGUAACCAGUAGUGGACUGGGUGGUGCUACCAUCGUGCUUUGCUAUUCAUGUAACAACCUGAAUCGAAUAUGAAUCACGUUCUACCAAGUUGGAUAUAAUGUCACUGCAUUGUAAAUUAGUUA